rnacentral:rRNA from 1 species
UAAAAAAGUAAAUUUAUAAUUAUAUAAGAGUAGUAUUAGAUAUAUUCUUGAAACUUAAAAAAUUUGGCGGUAUUUUAAUCUAUUUAGAGGAACCUGUUUUUUAAUUGAUAAUCCACAUUAUAUCUUACUUAAAUUUGUUUAAUUUGUAUAUCGUUGUCAUAAGAAUAUCUAUAAAAAGAAAAAAUUUUCUAAUUUAAAAAUUUUUAUUAAAAAUGUCAGAUCAAGGUGCAGUUUAUAUUUAAGUAAAAAUGGGUUACAAUAAAAUUUAUUUAUUAUGAAUUAAUUAAUGAAAAUUAAUUAUGAAAGGGGAUUU